rnacentral:rRNA from 1 species
UACGAAGGGGGCUAGCGUUGUUCGGAAUUACUGGGCGUAAAGGGCGCGUAGGCGGUUUGGUAAGUUGGGUGUGAAAGCCCAGGGCUUAACCCUGGAACUGCACUCAAGACUGCCUUACUUGAAUUCGGUAGAGGUUGGUGGAAUUCCCAGUGUAGAGGUGAAAUUCGUAGAUAUUGGGAAGAAUAUCCGUGGCGAAGGCGGCCAACUGGACCGACAUUGACGCUGAGGCGCGAAAGCGUGGGGAGCAAACAGG